UUAUACCGUGAAACUGCGAAUGGCUCAUUAAAUCAGUUAUCGUUUAUUUGAUAGUACCUUACUACUUGGAUACCCGUGGUAAUUCUAGAGCUAAUACAUGCUAAAAACCCCAACUUCGGGAGGGGUGUGUUUAUUAGAUAAAAAACCAACGCCCUUCGGGGCUCCUUGGUGAUUCAUGAUAACUUCUCAGAUCGCACGGCCUUGCGCCGGCGACGGUUCAUUCAAAUUUCUGCCCUAUCAACUUUCGAUGGUAAGGUAUUGGCUUACCAUGGUUUCAACGGGUAACGGGGAAUUAGGGUUCGAUUCCGGAGAGCGAGCCUGAGAGACGGCUAGCACAUCCAAGGAAGGCAGCAGGCGCGCAAAUUACCCAAUCCCGACACGGGGAGGUAGUGACAAUAAAUACUGAUACAGGGCUCUUUUGGGUCUUGUAAUUGGAAUGAGUACAAUUUAAACCUCUUAACGAGGAACAAUUGGAGGGCAAGUCUGGUGCCAGCAGCCGCGGUAAUUCCAGCUCCAAUAGCGUAUAUUAAAGUUGUUGCAGUUAAAAAGCUCGUAGUUGACCAUUUGGCCUGGCUGGCAGGUCCGCCUCACCGCGUGCACUUGUCCGGCCGGGCCUUUCUUUCUGGAGAACCGCAUGCCCUUCACUGGGCGUGUUGGGGACCAGGACUUUUACUUUGAAAAAAUUAGAGUGUUCAAAGCAGGCCUUUGCUCGAAUACGUUAGCAUGGAAUAAUAGAAUAGGACGCGCGGUCCUAUUUUGUUGGUUUCUAGGACCGCCGUAAUGAUUAAUAGGGACAGUCGGGGGCAUCAGUAUUCAAUUGUCAGAGGUGAAAUUCUUGGAUUUAUUGAAGACUAACUACUGCGAAAGCAUUUGUCAAGGAUGUUUUCAUUAAUCAGUGAACGAAAGUUAGGGGAUCGAAGACGAUCAGAUACCGUCGUAGUCUUAACCAUAAACUAUGCCGACUAGGGAUCGGGCGGUGUUAUUUAUUUGACCCGCUCGGCACCUUGCGAGAAAUCAAAGUGUU
rnacentral:rRNA from 1 species